rnacentral:misc_RNA from 1 species
GUAAACUUGCCUUCAGUUGAAGGUAACUUUCAGAACUUCAAUGCCUGUUAUGUAUAAAAUUUAAUUCAUACCAAAUUUCCAAAUUCCAAUUGACUAAGUUUUAAUUAGAUUGUUUUCUAAUGCAUAUUAGAGUGAACGUGAAAUUACAUUUGUUGCUUAAAGGAAUUUAGCCAAUAUAUUUGUUGACACGAGAAAAGGUCUAGUAAUUUAAGAACAUAUGAUCCCAACUUGUGGAAAAGAAAUGGGAUUAGUGAAAAUGCUUUGAAGCUUUUCAACUAUUACUUCUUUAGUAAAACUGCUUACUUAUGUUUA